GGUUAAGCGACUAAGCGUACACGGUGGAUGCCCUGGCAGUCAGAGGCGAUGAAGGACGUGCUAAUCUGCGAAAAGCGUCGGUAAGGUGAUAUGAACCGUUAUAACCGGCGAUGUCCGAAUGGGGAAACCCAGUGCAAUUCGUUGCACUAUCGUUAACUGAAUACAUAGGUUAACGAGGCGAACCGGGGGAACUGAAACAUCUAAGUACCCCGAGGAAAAGAAAUCAACCGAGAUUCCCCCAGUAGCGGCGAGCGAACGGGGAGCAGCCCAGAGUCUGAAUCAGCUUGUGUGUUAGUGGAACGGUCUGGAAAGUCCGACGGUACAGGGUGAUAGUCCCGUACACCAAAAUGCACAGGCUGUGAACUCGAAGAGUAGGGCGGGACACGUGGUAUCCUGUCUGAAUAUGGGGGGACCAUCCUCCAAGGCUAAAUACUCCUGACUGACCGAUAGUGAACCAGUACCGUGAGGGAAAGGCGAAAAGAACCCCGGCGAGGGGAGUGAAAAAGAACCUGAAACCGUGUACGUACAAGCAGUGGGAGCACCUUCGGGUGUGACUGCGUACCUUUUGUAUAAUGGGUCAGCGACUUAUAUUCUGUAGCAAGGUUAACCGUAUAGGGGAGCCGCAGGGAAACCGAGUCUUAACUGGGCGUUAAGUUGCAGGGUAUAGACCCGAAACCCGGUGAUCUAGCCAUGGGCAGGUUGAAGGUUGGGUAACACUAACUGGAGGACCGAACCGACUAAUGUUGAAAAAUUAGCGGAUGACUUGUGGCUGGGGGUGAAAGGCCAAUCAAACCGGGAGAUAGCUGGUUCUCCCCGAAAGCUAUUUAGGUAGCGCCUCGUGAAUUCAUCUUCGGGGGUAGAGCACUGUUUCGGCUAGGGGGUCAUCCCGACUUACCAACCCGAUGCAAACUACGAAUACCGAAGAAUGUUAUCACGGGAGACACACGGCGGGUGCUAACGUCCGUCGUGAAGAGGGAAACAACCCAGACCGCCAGCUAAGGUCCCAAAGUCAUGGUUAAGUGGGAAACGAUGUGGGAAGGCACAGACAGCCAGGAUGUUGGCUUAGAAGCAGCCAUCAUUUAAAGAAAGCGUAAUAGCUCACUGGUCGAGUCGGCCUGCGCGGAAGAUGUAACGGGGCUAAACCAUGCACCGAAGCUGCGGCAGCGACACUAUGUGUUGUUGGGUAGGGGAGCGUUCUGUAAGCCUGCGAAGGUGUGCUGUGAGGCAUGCUGGAGGUAUCAGAAGUGCGAAUGCUGACAUAAGUAACGAUAAAGCGGGUGAAAAGCCCGCUCGCCGGAAGACCAAGGGUUCCUGUCCAACGUUAAUCGGGGCAGGGUGAGUCGACCCCUAAGGCGAGGCCGAAAGGCGUAGUCGAUGGGAAACAGGUUAAUAUUCCUGUACUUGGUGUUACUGCGAAGGGGGGACGGAGAAGGCUAUGUUAGCCGGGCGACGGUUGUCCCGGUUUAAGCAUGUAGGCUGAUUGUCCAGGCAAAUCCGGAUAAUCAAGGCUGAGGUGUGAUGACGAGGCACUACGGUGCUGAAGUAACAAAUGCCCUGCUUCCAGGAAAAGCCUCUAAGCAUCAGGUAACAUUAAAUCGUACCCCAAACCGACACAGGUGGUCAGGUAGAGAAUACCAAGGCGCUUGAGAGAACUCGGGUGAAGGAACUAGGCAAAAUGGUGCCGUAACUUCGGGAGAAGGCACGCUGGUGUGUAGGUGAAGUCCCUGCGGAUGGAGCUGAGACCAGUCGAAGAUACCAGCUGGCUGCAACUGUUUAUUAAAAACACAGCACUGUGCAAACACGAAAGUGGACGUAUACGGUGUGACGCCUGCCCGGUGCCGGAAGGUUAAUUGAUGGGGUUAUCCGUAAGGAGAAGCUCUUGAUCGAAGCCCCGGUAAACGGCGGCCGUAACUAUAACGGUCCUAAGGUAGCGAAAUUCCUUGUCGGGUAAGUUCCGACCUGCACGAAUGGCGUAAUGAUGGCCAGGCUGUCUCCACCCGAGACUCAGUGAAAUUGAACUCGCUGUGAAGAUGCAGUGUACCCGCGGCAAGACGGAAAGACCCCGUGAACCUUUACUAUAGCUUGACACUGAACAUUGAGCCUUGAUGUGUAGGAUAGGUGGGAGGCUUUGAAGCGUGGACGCCAGUCUGCGUGGAGCCAACCUUGAAAUACCACCCUUUAAUGUUUGAUGUUCUAACGUUGGCCCCUUACCGGGGUUGCGGACAGUGUCUGGUGGGUAGUUUGACUGGGGCGGUCUCCUCCCAAAGCGUAACGGAGGAGCACGAAGGUUAGCUAAUCCUGGUCGGACAUCAGGAGGUUAGUGCAAUGGCAUAAGCUAGCUUGACUGCGAGCGUGACGGCGCGAGCAGGUGCGAAAGCAGGUCAUAGUGAUCCGGUGGUUCUGAAUGGAAGGGCCAUCGCUCAACGGAUAAAAGGUACUCCGGGGAUAACAGGCUGAUACCGCCCAAGAGUUCAUAUCGACGGCGGUGUUUGGCACCUCGAUGUCGGCUCAUCACAUCCUGGGGCUGAAGUAGGUCCCAAGGGUAUGGCUGUUCGCCAUUUAAAGUGGUACGCGAGCUGGGUUUAGAACGUCGUGAGACAGUUCGGUCCCUAUCUGCCGUGGGCGCUGGAGAAUUGAGGGGGGCUGCUCCUAGUACGAGAGGACCGGAGUGGACGCAUCACUGGUGUUCGGGUUGUCAUGCCAAUGGCACUGCCCGGUAGCUAAAUGCGGAAGAGAUAAGUGCUGAAAGCAUCUAAGCACGAAACUUGCCCCGAGAUGAGUUCUCCCUGAGACUUUAAGUCUCCUGAAGGAACGUUGAAGACGACGACGUUGAUAGGCCGGGUGUGUAAGCGCAGCGAUGCGUUGAGCUAACCGGUACUAAUGAACCGUGAGGCUUAACCUU
rnacentral:rRNA from 1 species